CGUAGGUGGCAGGCGUUGUCCGGAUUUAUUGGGUUUAAAGGGUGCGUAGGCGGCUUUGUAAGUCAGUGGUGAAAUACUCCAGCUCAACUGGAGAGGUGCCAUUGAUACUGCGGAGCUAGAGUACUGAUGAGGUAGGCGGAAUGGACGGUGUAGCGGUGAAAUGCUUAGAUAUCGUCCAGAACACCGAUAGCGAAGGCAGCUUACUAAAGAGUAACUGACGCUGAGGCACGAAAGUGUGGGGAUCAAACAGGAUUAGAUACCCUGGUAGUCCACACUGUAAACGUUGAUCACUAGAUGUUGGCGAUACACUGCCAGCGUUCCAGCAAAAGCGAUAAGUGAUCCACCUGGGGAGUACGCCCGCAAGGGUG
rnacentral:rRNA from 1 species